AGCAAUUGCCUGGGCAAGAUGGUGUUGAGUAGAACAUGUUGCCCCUAAGUUCAUAGAUUGAGAAGUGGGUCAGUGUUUACUAUAUUUGAGCCUGUCAUUAAUGGAGGUCUCUGAUAUUUAGUGGAAUCUCAGCCCAUCACAUUCCACCACAUUCCCCAAGUUAGCAAAAUCAUAUAAGGUCACAGAAGUGAUAAUGCAAUGCAUGCAAAAGUUUUGGCUCUAACCUCUGCAGGUUCAAGUGAAGCUUCUUUAAAUUUUGAAGCAUCUAGACCCUGAAGUCUGGUCCAAAGGAUGGAAAGGCAAGGUUGAAAUAAUAAGAGAAACCAAUAACUUAGAAAUUUUGAAGAGAUGGAAGAGAUACCAAUGCAACACUAAUUGAGGAUCAGUGGAUGUGCAAG